GUUCAAAGGGUGACUGAUUUAGACUUAACUGGCGUUUAGCCAAAAUCUUGUCAACCCGAAAAGUUGACAUGAAAUUCCGAUGUGAAGCGCUGCCGCUGCCAACCUUCCAAAGCAGACGAAAUAAUUUAAGAAAGAAUCACAAGUGUUUUCUUUUUGUUUCUUUCGUCGUUUCAUCAGCUUAUUAUUAAUAUUCAGAGGGCUUGAAGCCGUCCAUCAAUUGAAACCCUCAUUUUCAACCCUUGGAAAGGACUAAACAUGGUUCGUGGACUUUUGACGUUCGGCGUUGGAAUCUACGCCGGAAUCUACCUCAGUCAAAACUACCAGAUUCCGAGAGUGGACGAGCCAAAAGUCAUGUGGGAGAAGUUCCAGUCGAUCAUGGAGCAGUACAGGAAACCUCCGCCAUCAGGCGACAAAUGAAAACUAUAUAUUUCUCUCUCGCUGUAUAGUUGUCAACUCCCCGACCGUUUACAUCUUUUUUUUCCGUUUUGAAGCCAACUUCCAAAAUUGACAUGAAACUGUCAGUGCCAGUCUUGUUUUUAGGGAAUCUAAAAUAAUAAUACAGAAAAUGCCAAUUGGAAAAAAAAAGUUGCAUUUGAAAAUUCCGCCUCUUGGCUGAUGACGUAAACAAGACAGUCUUUCCGGGAAUCUGUAAAACCUUUACGUGAGUUUUUAAACUACUUUGAAGUGCAAGGUCAAUCUCUUUUUGGGCGCGAUUAGAUAUUCAUGUCGUAUGUUCGAUAGUAGAUUGGAAACAGCUAAUGGGAAAAUGGUGGGUGUCUCGUCUCGUGACGCAAUUCCUUCCUACGUGUAUUCUGUCGUCUUCCGGUGUUCGACAAGAUUGGAUAUCGACUCCCGUGUCCCGUUAUUGGUUUACCGUCGUUGCAUGUGGGAGGAUGUUUUGAAUGAGAGUCCAGCGAAUGUGUUUUGGGCAAGAAUCCUGUCGAGGGGUACACACUCCCGAGUUAUAUGGGGAAUGCAAUCAUUCACAAAAUAUUCAAAUGCGUCGUCUCUGGGUGAUCCUUCGGGCAACCUUUGUGGCAUUGUGGGCGAUUCUCGUCCACCGUCAAACAUCGUCCAAUUGCCGAUCUUGACAUCUGAGGGAGAUUGAUCUUUUUAAAAUUGAUUGGAUGCCAUAAGGUCAACCAUUUUUUGAUAAAAGUUGAAUCGCUAGCUGAUGAUUGAAGACUUGUGUAGUCGUUCGCGAUUUAGUUUUGUAGUUAUGAAUGAAAAGCGGUUGAGUUGAAAUCUUCAAAGAACAUUCUUGGCUUUUUAAUUUAAAAACGGACAUCUGUGCCAAUUCCUUCAACCGUCUGACAUCCUCAAAGUGAGGCUUCUACAGUUGCUGAUUGGCGGAUCCUCGGCUGCGUCGUGUCCGCCGUGUCCCCAGAGCGAUCCAGCAGUGGCUAAGGAACGGUUAAACAAUGAUUUUGAAAUUAAUGGUGCGUUCCCGUGGGUUGAUGAGUCCCAGAUUGGCGUUCGAUGGCAAAUCGAAAACAAGACAUUACCCUGGGAGUUGGCGAAUGUAGCGCCUCAACCGCUCACCGGUAGAAAUUAUCUAAGAGUCCAUCGCGGGCGGUCUUUUUCUUCGUUUGGAGUAGCAAUUCUUCGGAGCCAGACCUUUAGACUUCCAGCAUGCCAAAAUGAUUUCUCUUUCUCGUUCUGGAUACGCUCCAAAUGGCCCCAAUUCACCAAUCUCGAGUUAUACAUGUCCAACAAUGGAAACGAAAGGCUGCUCAUCAGUUUGUACAAUUACUCGAGCAUUACCAAUGGGAUUUGGCGAUCUCAAUCCGUUCUUCUCGAGGGUGAACCAGCUUCUAAUGUUUCCUUGGUGUUUUACGCUUAUUGCGGCACAGAAAAAGAAGAUGCUGUUGCCAUCGACGAUUUGCGAUUUUCGUCUAAACAGUUGACAGUCACAUCGCCCUUUUGGACGACAACGUUUAACUCGCCAACUACUAAAUCAGCGGGUAAAUUUUUGACUGACCCACCAACCGACCCACCAACCGACCAACCAACCGACGAACCAACCGACGAACCAACCGACGAACCAACCGACGAACCAACCGACGAACCAACCGACCACACAACCGACCCACCAACCGACCCACCAACCGAC
rnacentral:lncRNA from 1 species